UACAGAGGGUGCGAGCGUUGUCCGGAAUCACUGGGCGUAAAGGGCGCGUAGGUGGCCUGGUACGUAGGGGGUGAAAUCUCGAGGCUCAACUUCGAGGCUGCCUCCUAAACUGUCAGGCUUGAGCAGAGUAGAGGCAGGUGGAAUUCCCGGUGUAGCGGUGGAAUGCGCAGAUAUGAGGAAGAACACCCGUGGCGAAGGCGGCUCUCUGGGACGGUACUGACGCUGAGACGCGAAAGCGUGGGGAACGAACAGG
rnacentral:rRNA from 1 species